GAGACUCUGUGCGCGUGCAUAUCAAUAAGCGGAGGAAAAGAAACUAACAAGGAUUCCCCUUAGUAACGGCGAGUGAAGCGGGAAGAGCUCAAAUUUGAAAUCUUCAAGGUUUUACCUUGACGAAUUGUAGUUUAUAGAAGUGUUUUCUGUUAGUAGAGUUUGGUAAAAGUUCUUUGGAAUAGGACAUCAUAGAGGGUGAGAAUCCCGUAUUUGGUCAUUCUUCCUAGCGUUGUGAUACACUUUCAACGAGUCGGAUUGUUUGGGAAUGCAGUCCAAAAUGGGUGGUAAAUUUCAUCUAAAGCUAAAUAUUGGCGAGAGACCGAUAGCGAACAAGUACCGUGAGGGAAAGAUGAAAAGAACUUUGAAAAGAGAGUUAAACAGUACGUGAAAUUGUCAAAAGGGAAGCGUUUGACACCAGUGUUGUUUUUCCGAAAAUCAAUUACGAAUGUUUUAUUUUUAAGAAGUUAUGACUUCAUCGGCUUGCUUCUUUCUUUACGAAACUUUCUUAAUGCACUUUUCGGUUAACAAGUCAACAUCAAUUUCUUUUGUUGUAAAAGGGUAUGAGGAAGGUGGCUUUCUUUUCGGAGAAAGUGUUUAUAGCCUUGUGCCUCUGCAAUCGGAGAGAUUGAGGUCUGCAGCGUAGAUCCUUCGGGGUUAGAUACAUUUGUGCUAAGUUAUAGCUUUUCAUAGACAACUUGUUGACUAUGUUUAGUCUUGUAGCUUACUCGCUUAUGCUAUUUUACCUACGCUUAGGAUGUUGAGUCGUAGAGCACGCAG
rnacentral:rRNA from 1 species